UAGGGAAUAUUGGACAAUGGGGGCAACCCUGAUCCAGCAAUGCCGCGUGAGUGAUGAAGGCCUUAGGGUUGUAAAGCUCUUUUACCCGGGAUGAUAAUGACAGUACCGGGAGAAUAAGCCCCGGCUAACUCCGUGCCAGCAGCCGCGGUAAUACGGAGGGGGCUAGCGUUGUUCGGAAUUACUGGGCGUAAAGCGCACGUAGGCGGCGAUUUAAGUCAGGGGUGAAAGCCCGGUGCUCAACACCGGAACUGCCUUUGAGACUGGAUUGCUUGAAUCACGGAGAGGUGGGUGGAAUUCCGAGUGUAGAGGUGAAAUUCGUAGAUAUUCGGAAGAACACCAGUGGCGAAGGCGGCCCACUGGACGUGUAUUGACGCUGAGGUGCGAAAGCGUGGGGAGCAAACA
rnacentral:rRNA from 1 species